GGGGCUAAACCAUGCACCGAAGCUGCGGCAGCGACGCUGAUGCGUUGUUGGGUAGGGGAGCGUUCUGUAAGCCUGCGAAGGUGGCCUGUGAGGGUUGCUGGAGGUAUCAGAAGUGCGAAUGCUGACAUAAGUAACGAUAAAGCGGGUGAAAAGCCCGCUCGCCGGAAGACCAAGGGUUCCUGUCCAACGUUAAUCGGGGCAGGGUGAGUCGACCCCUAAGGCGAGGCCGAAAGGCGUAGUCGAUGGGAAACGGGUUAAUAUUCCCGUACUUGGUGUUACUGCGAAGGGGGGACGGAGAAGGCUAUGUUGGCCGGGCGACGGUUGUCCCGGUUUAAGCGUGUAGGUGUGUGUUCCAGGUAAAUCCGGUUCACUUUAACACUGAGGCGUGAUGACGAGGCACUACGGUGCUGAAGCAACAAAUGCCCUGCUUCCAGGAAAAGCCUCUAAGCAUCAGGUAACAUCAAAUCGUACCCCAAACCGACACAGGUGGUCAGGUAGAGAAUACCAAGGCGCUUGAGAGAACUCGGGUGAAGGAACUAGGCAAAAUGGUGCCGUAACUUCGGGAGAAGGCACGCUGACACGUAGGUGAAGUGAUUUACUCAUGGAGCUGAAGUCAGUCGAAGAUACCAGCUGGCUGCAACUGUUUAUUAAAAACACAGCACUGUGCAAACACGAAAGUGGACGUAUACGGUGUGACGCCUGCCCGGUGCCGGAAGGUUAAUUGAUGGGGUCAGCGCAAGCGAAGCUCCUGAUCGAAGCCCCGGUAAACGGCGGCCGUAACUAUAACGGUCCUAAGGUAGCGAAAUUCCUUGUCGGGUAAGUUCCGACCUGCACGAAUGGCGUAAUGAUGGCCAGGCUGUCUCCACCCGAGACUCAGUGAAAUUGAACUCGCUGUGAAGAUGCAGUGUACCCGCGGCAAGACGGAAAGACCCCGUGAACCUUUACUAUAGCUUGACACUGAACAUUGAGCCUUGAUGUGUAGGAUAGGUGGGAGGCUUUGAAGUGUGGACGCCAGUCUGCAUGGAGCCGACCUUGAAAUACCACCCUUUAAUGUUUGAUGUUCUAACGUGGACCCGUGAUCCGGGUUGCGGACAGUGUCUGGUGGGUAGUUUGACUGGGGCGGUCUCCUCCUAAAGAGUAACGGAGGAGCACGAAGGUUGGCUAAUCCUGGUCGGACAUCAGGAGGUUAGUGCAAUGGCAUAAGCCAGCUUGACUGCGAGCGUGACGGCGCGAGCAGGUGCGAAAGCAGGUCAUAGUGAUCCGGUGGUUCUGAAUGGAAGGGCCAUCGCUCAACGGAUAAAAGGUACUCCGGGGAUAACAGGCUGAUACCGCCCAAGAGUUCAUAUCGACGGCGGUGUUUGGCACCUCGAUGUCGGCUCAUCACAUCCUGGGGCUGAAGUAGGUCCCAAGGGUAUGGCUGUUCGCCAUUUAAAGUGGUACGCGAGCUGGGUUUAGAACGUCGUGAGACAGUUCGGUCCCUAUCUGCCGUGGGCGCUGGAGAACUGAGGGGGGCUGCUCCUAGUACGAGAGGACCGGAGUGGACGCAUCACUGGUGUUCGGGUUGUCAUGCCAAUGGCACUGCCCGGUAGCUAAAUGCGGAAGAGAUAAGUGCUGAAAGCAUCUAAGCACGAAACUUGCCCCGAGAUGAGUUCUCCCUGAGACUUUAGGUCUCCUGAAGGAACGUUGAAGACGACGACGUUGAUAGGCCGGGUGUGUAAGCGCAGCGAUGCGUUGAGCUAACCGGUACUAAUGAACCGUGAGGCUUAACCUUACA
rnacentral:rRNA from 1 species